rnacentral:rRNA from 1 species
AUUGAACGCUGGCGGCAGGCCUAACACAUGCAAGUCGAACGAGUGGCGGACGGGUGAGUAAUGUCUGGGAAACUGCCUGAUGGAGGGCGAUAACUACUGGAAACGGUAGCUAAUACCGCAUACCAUCGGAUGUGCCCUGAUGGGAUUAGCUAGUAGGUGGGGUAAAGGGUCACCUAGGCGACGAUCCCUAGCUGGUCUGAGAGGAUGACCAGCCACACUGGAACUGAGACACGGUCCAGACUCCUACGGGAGGCAGCAGUGGGGAAUAUUGGACAAUGGGCGAAAUCCUGAUGCAGCCAUGCCGCGUGUGUGAAGAAGGCCUUCGGGUUGUAAAGUACUUUCAGCAGGAAGGCGUUACCCGCAGAAGAAGCACCGGCUAACUCCGUGCCAGCAGCCGCGGUAAUUC